AGCCCCGUCGUCUAGUGGCCAAGGAUACGGGCCUCUGGAGCCUGGGACGCCUGUUCGAAUCAGGCCGGGGCUA
rnacentral:tRNA from 1 species